UACGUAGGGUGCGAGCGUUGUCCGGAAUUAUUUGGGCGUAAAGAGCUCGUAGGCGGCUUGUCGCGUCGGAUGUGAAAGCCCGGGGCUUAACCCCGGGUCUGCAUUCGAUACGGGCAGGCUAGAGUUCGGUAGGGGAGAUCGGAAUUCCUGGUGUAGCGGUGAAAUGACGCAGAUAUCAGGAGGAACACCGGUGGCGAAGGCGGAUCUCUGGGCCGAUACUACGUGAGGAGCGAAAGCGUGGGGAGCGAACAGG
rnacentral:rRNA from 1 species